CUCCUCCUCCCAGUCAAAGGAGCCCACCGGAGGAGCCCAUCCUGCGAUCUCCGGAUCUGUCCCUCGCCGCGCCUCGCGCCUCCUCCUCCUGGUCUCCUUAGGCGCCUUCGCUGCUCUGCGCGCCGCGGAGAAAGAGAUCCGCCCAGGGAGGUGGGGAAGAUGCCGGGCAGGGGGAGGAGGAGGCGGCGGCAGCAGCAGCAGCAUCCAAAAGGGACCCGAGACCCAGCAACCGGGCGGCGGAGGCAACCUGCCCGCCUCGCCCCGUCCGCUUCGGAUGAUGACAAAAGGGCGGCUCCCCUCCGCGCCCCGAGCGCCCCCCUCCGGACGGCUGCGCGCACGGCCAGAGGCGCCGCGUCCCUCGGCCCCCGAGCCGCCGCGCUGCCUCGUCUUCUGCUGCAGGGAGGAGCGGUGACGCAAUGGGCCGCUGGCACCAGGAGGCCCCCCAGCCGGGUGGGCCGGAAGGAUGCGCCCCUCUCCUUUAAGGGGCUGGAAGGAGAAGAAGAAGCCGGCGAUGGAGCUGGCCUCCCUCCUUUAUAUGGCUGCGCGGCACUGGUUUUUAAUGGCGUUACUUAGGAGUAGGAGUAGGCUGCUGCUCAGGAGUCGACAGGGGAAGGGCACCUGCUUGGCACCCCACGUAGGGCGGGGAGAGAAACGCCCGUCCAAGAUCCCGGAGAGCCGCCGCUGCCAGUCUCUGUAGGCAGCACGGGGUCGAGGGACCCAACGGUCUGAGUCGGUGCGCUGCGGCGGCGAUCUACAGACCUCGUUGCGCAUGUGGGAAGAUGCUGCCUUUGAAAUGUAGCGCGCAUCUGGCGCUGGCGCGGGAGGAGCAGGGCGCCACUCUGUGGCCCGCGAGACGGGAGCCUCGGACGCGGGGCUGCGGGAGAGGGAAGAGGCAAGGAGCCAGGACCAGCUCUGCCGAUCAGGGGUCACGUUUUUGUGAAACGAUCUCGCCCAGCCCGAUGAGAUCCUUGAUGGAACGUUCGCUGCUUGCCUCCUUCCCAGGACCUGAUCCUGGUUCACCGUGGGAAGGUAGACACCAGAGGACUUCUUCUUCAUUCGGGUGAUGGGGGCCUUGACAGGCAUGGGGCCAAAGUGUUCAUUCAGCAUCUCACCCAGGAUCACAGCGGAAGGUGCCGGGGCAAGCUGAGGCAGCUGCUGCGUUUCUUGCAUCGCCAUCCUCACACCCUGGAUAUGACAAAGCAGAGCUGAUGAGCAUCAGGAGCAGCCUGGUCAUGGCAAGAGAGUCACCAGCUGCAGGAAUGCAGAGCAGGGCUUUCAAUGUGAUGGCCCCUCUUGUGGAACAGCAUCCCCCGUUGAGAUAUGCCAGGCACACACUAUCAGGACUUUACAGAAACCAAGGAAGAUGUUUUUAUCCAGUUAAAUGAAAAUGUCUCUUCUCAGCCUUUGGUGCACAUUUUGUAUUGUUUUCAAACCCCUCAGUUGCUUCUUGUUCUCUUUAAAGCUAUUUCAGCUGUUUGUAUGUUAUGUCUGUAAAUUGCUUUAAGUCAUAUGGAAAUGGCUACACACAAAUAAAUAAAUAAUCACCAA